rnacentral:misc_RNA from 1 species
GAUGAAGAACGUAGCGAAAUGCGAUAAGUAAUGUGAAUUGCAGAAUUCAGUGAAUCAUCGAAUCUUUGAACGCACCUUGCGCCCUUUGGCCAUUCCGAAGGGCAUGCCUGUUUGAGUAUCAUGAACACCUCAACUCUUCAUGAUUUUCCGUGAUGAGCUUGGACUUUGGGGGUCUUGCUGGCCUAUGGUCAGCUCCUCUAAAAUAAAUCAGCUUGCCAGUGUUUGGUGGGUAUCACAGGUGUGAUAACUAUCUACGCUUGUGGUUUUCCACCAGGUAACCUUCAGCAGUGGAGGUUCGCUGGAGCUCACAGAUGUGUCUCACCUCAGUGAGGACAGCUCUUUGAAUGUUUGAUCUCAAAUCAGGUAGGACUACCCGCUGAACUUAAGCAUAUCAAUAAGCGGAGGA